AAAAAAAAAGAAAAAAGAAAAAACGAGUUUUCCUUUCCAAGUAAUAUUGCAGUGCACUCGAUGAAGAAUUUCUCGCAGUAAGCUAGAGCCUACUUCUGCUCAAGUGAAUGUAUACACCUGUGCUUGGAUCGGUAUCUCAGUAAUGGCUAAUUUUUCUGAAAAGUUUGUUGGUUGGUUGAUUCAUAUUCAAAUUUUAUCUUGUUUGAUAUUGACAGCUCAUGGCGCAUUCUCUCUAAAGUUGCAUUUGAAUCAGACAAUUUUAUCAGAAACACAAGAAGCUAUUUCAAAAAUUAAAGUUAUAGCAACAAAGCAUUGAAACGAGAUAUAUCUGGCAAGACUGAUGUUAAAUUGCCCAUUUUGUUGCAGUUAAAUGUUCAAAAACUUGAUCGUUCUUGACACACCAAAGCAUUU
rnacentral:misc_RNA from 1 species